CCCAGAGCAGGCAGCCUAACACACAGAGGACGGGAUCUUUUGGACAGGCAUGUGGAGAAAGAGAAAAAUGACCUUGGAGGCACUGUAAGCCUUCAGCCAUUUAAAGGUCAAUCUGUUGAUGUAUCCCCAGCAUCAACAGAGCAACUAUGCAGCGCAGAAAAAGCAAACAAUAAAACAGUAAGAGAACAGGGUAGACUGAUCUCAUAUUCCAGUACUGCUGGUCUGAAUUUCCCUGAUGGGAGGUGGAGGAAGAACACCUGCUUGAGGCUUUGCACUCAGCUCCUGAACUCAAGCAGCAGGCUCCUACGGCAUACUGGAAGAAUUCACCACAGCGCUCCUGCUCAGACACUGUGCACACUGCUGUGCAAAGCCCCAGAGCAAACCUGGAUGAAAAUUUGGCUGGGAAUAACAAGAAACAGCAGGCUAAGACUCUAAAACAAUUGAGAGGGGAAAAAAAAAAGGCAUCAACACCAAAAAGAACCAAUCAGAAACAAUCAUUUUAAUCAGCUCCUGAGGCUACAGACAUUUUAAACCCAGGGACUUCUGUGGUUAGGCUAAAUCCUGCUUUGCAGUCUGUAGAGGAUGUGGUUUGAACUGUGGCAGCUUGAGGAAAAAUGUCAAAAAUAUAUGUAUAAUGGUUCCUAGGUAAUUUGCCAGCACUUACCAUAGCAACUAACCAUUUGUGGUGAUUUAACACAUGGA
rnacentral:lncRNA from 1 species